rnacentral:rRNA from 1 species
AAAGUUAGAGGUUCGAAGGCGAUCAGAUACCGCCCUAGUUCUAACCAUAAACGAUGCCAGCCAGCGAUCCGGCUGUGUUCCUCAAAUGACACGCCGGGCAGCUUCCGGGAAACCAAAGCUUUUGGGUUCCGGGGGAAGUAUGGUUGCAAAGCUGAAACUUAAAGGAAUUGACGGAAGGGCACCACCAGGAUUGGAGCUUGCGGUUUAAUUUGACUCAACACGGGACAACCUACCCGGCCCGGACACAGGAAGGAUUGACAGAUUAAGAGCUCUUUCUUGAUUCUGUGGGUGGUGGUGCAUGGCCGUUCUUAGUUGGUGGACUGAUUUGUCUGGUUAAUUCCGUUAACGAACGAGACUCUAGCCUACUAAAUAGACGUUCCGAUUAUUUAUUUUUCGGACGUUCUUCUUAGAGGGACAAUCGGCGCUUAGCCCGAUGAGACAGAGCAAUAACAGGUCUGUGAUGCCCUUUGAUGUCCGGGGCCACACGCGUGCUACAUUGAAGGAAUCAGCGUGUGCUUUCCCUGUCCGACAGGACUGGGUAACCCGUUGAACCUCCUUCGUGCUGGGGAUAGGGGCUUGUAAUUGUUCCCCUUGAACGAGGAAUUCCUAGUAAGCACGAAUCAUCAGUUCGUGUUGACUAAGUCCCUGCCCUUUGUCCACACCGCCCGUCGCUACUACCGAUUGAAUGAUUUAGUGAGGUCUUCGGACUGGCGCUCGGAGCGGCCUUCGGGUCGCGCCGGCGUGCCGGAAAGAUGACCAAACUUGGUCAUU